rnacentral:rRNA from 1 species
UGCGUAGGCGGGUUUCUAAGUCAGAGGUGAAAGCCUGGAGCUCAACUCCAGAACUGCCUUUGAUACUGGAAGUCUUGAGUUCGGGAGAGGUGAGUGGAACUGCGAGUGUAGAGGUGAAAUUCGUAGAUGUUCGCAAGAACACCAGUGGCGAAGGCGGCUCACUGGCCCGAUACUGACGCUGAGGCACGAAAGCGUGGGAGCAAACA